UGUCAGAAGUGGGAUUCGAACCCACGUCCACAUCAGUGGACAAGAACACCCAACUCCCGCUACGGGAUAGGAUAAGAUUUACUCUUGAGUCUGGCGCCUUAGACCACUCGGCCAUUCUGAC